GUAUUCACCCUGUUCUUGCUGGUCAUACACAGAGAGCUGGAGAAGGCAAGAAUGAAGGCAGUGCUGGAAUGGAAUCCAGGACCUUGUGCAAGCUCGACAAAUGUGCUCGGCUGAGUCACAUCCCAUCCCCAUCCCACUGGGCAGCUUUGGUGGAAGGGUCUUGUAUUAAACUGGAGACUGGGGUGUAGAAGGACACGGUGGAAGACAACUAGCUCUUGACAGAAAGUGACCUGGGGGAGAAGGUAUGGCCCGGUGGCAGCCUUGGCACAUGCUGACUAGUGCAUGACUAUCCCUUCUGAUCUAUAGCCAAAG